rnacentral:rRNA from 1 species
GACAAUGGGCGCAGCUGAUCCAGCCAUGCGCGUGCAGGAUGACGGUCUAUGGAUUGUAAACUGCUUUAUACGAGAAGAAACACUGCUUCGUGAAGCAGCUUGACGGUAUCGUAAGAAUAAGGAUCGGCUAACUCCGUGCCAGCAGCCGCGGUAAUACGGAGGAUCCAAGCGUUAUCCGGAAUCAUUGGGUUUAAAGGGUCCGUAGGCGGUUUAAUAAGUCAGUGGUGAAAGCCCAUCGCUCAACGGUGGAACGGCCAUUGAUACUGUUAAACUUGAAUUAUUAGGAAGUAACUAGAAUAUGUAGUGUAGCGGUGAAAUGCUUAGAGAUUACAUGGAAUACCAAUUGCGAAGGCAGGUUACUACUAAUGGAUUGACGCUGAUGGACGAAAGCGUGGGUAGCGAACAGGAUUAGAUACCCUGGUAGUCCACGCCGUAAACGAUGGAUACUAGCUGUUGGAAGCAAUUUCAGUGGCUAAGCGAAAGUGAUAAGUAUCCCACCUGGGGAGUACGUUCGCAAGAAUGAAACUCAAAGGAAUUGACGGGGGCCCGCACAAGCGGUGGAGCAUGUGGUUUAAUUCGAUGAUACGCGAGGAACCUUACCAAGGCUUAAAUGUAGUUUGACCGGUUUGGAAACAGAUCUUUCGCAAGACAAAUUACAAGGUGCUGCAUGGUUGUCGUCAGCUCGUGCCGUGAGGUGUCAGGUUAAGUCCUAUAACGAGCGCAACCCCUGUUGUUAGUUGCCAGCGAGUCAUGUCGGGAACUCUAACAAGACUGCCAGUGCAAACUGUGAGGAAGGUGGGGAUGACGUCAAAUCAUCACGGCCCUUACGCCUUGGGCUAC